GGUUAAGUUACUAAGGGCAUACGGUGGAUGCCUUGGCACGAGAAGGCGAAGAAGGACGUGAUUACCUGCGAUAAGCCGCGGUUAGAUGGAAAUAAUCUAAUACCCGCGGAUUUCCGAAUGGGACAACCCUACUGAGGUAAUGCUCAGUAAUCCAUAACUGAAUACAUAGGUUAUGUGAGGCCAACCCGGGGAACUGAAACAUCUAAGUACCCGGAGGAAGAGAAAAUAAAUAAUGAUUUCCUGAGUAGUGGCGAGCGAAAAGGAAAGAGCCUAAACCGUUUAACAUGUUAAAAGUUACAGCUGUUGUGUUAUCGGUGUUGUGGGACUCUGUUAGACUGAACUGUAAAUAAGUCGGAGAGUAAAAAAUCAUAUUGUUAGCUGAAUAACGUGGGAAAGUUAAUCAUAGAAGGUGAUAAUCCUGUAAGCAAAAACAAUGUGACUCUUUGAAUAGAGCACCCGAGUACCACGAAGUAAGUGGAAUUUUGUGGGAAUCUGCCAGAACCAUCUGGUAAGGCUAAAUACUCUCUCGUGACCGAUAGUGAAUAAGUACCGUGAGGGAAAGGUGAAAAGUACUCCUAACAGGAGAGUGAAAUAGUACCUGAAACCGUAUGCUUACAAACGGUUGGAGCUCCAAUUUAUUGGGGUGACAGCGUGCCUUUUGGAUAAUGAGCCAACGAGUUACUCGUACAUUGCAAGGUUAAGGUAUUCAGUACCGAAGCCGUAGCGAAAGCAAGUCUGAAGUGGGCGAUAUAGUAAUGUGCGGUAGACGCGAAACCGAGUGAUCUACCCUUGUCCAGGAUGAAGUCUCGGUAAAACGAGAUGGAGGUCCGAACCAGUAUGGGUUGAAAACCAUUUGGAUGAGGUGAGGGUAGGGGUGAAAGGCCAAUCAAACUCGGAGAUAGCUCGUAUUCCUCGAAAUAGCUUUAGGGCUAGCCUCGAGUAAAAAUGUCACGGAGGUAGAGCACUGAUUGGACUAGGGCCCUCACAAGGGUACCAACUCCAGACAAACUCCGAAUGCCGUAGACAUGUUUCUCGGGAGUCAGGCUGUGUGAGAUAAGUUUCACAGCCGAGAGGGGAACAACCCAGACCACCAGCUAAGGCCCCCAAAUAGUAGUUAACAGAGAAAGGAUGUUGAGUUGCUUAGACAACUAGGAUGUUGGCUUAGAAGCAGCCAUUCAUUUAAAGAGUGCGUAAUAGCUCACUAGUCAAGCGACUUAGCGUCGACAAUUUGCGGGACUUAAACUACUUGCCGAAGCUGUGGGAUCAUGCUUGCAUGAUCGGUAGAGGAACAUUCCAUGUGCAGUGAAGAUGUGUGGCGAUGCAUGUUGGAGCGCAUGGAAAAGCAAAUGUUGGCAUAAGUAACGAUAAGACAGAUGGGAAAUCUGUCCACCAAAAGCCUAAGGUUUCCUGAGCAAUGCUAAUCAUCUCAGGGUUAGUCGGACCCUAAGCCGAGGCCGAGAGGCGUAGGCGAUGGAAAACGGGUUAAUAUUCCCGUACCUGGUAAAAUUUGUUUGACUGUAAGGAGGGACGCAGAAGUGAAGAUCAGCCGCCUGUCGGAUUAGGCGGUCUAAGUGUGUAGGAGGAGAGAGUAGGCAAAUCCGCUCUUUCUUAACUCUGAGGCACGAACGGGAGGACAAUAGUCCAUAAACUGAUCGUAACCAUGCUGCCGAGAAAAGCUUCGUACAGGAGAGUUUUAUCAGACCGUACCGCAAACCGACACAGGUAGGCGGGAUGAGUAUUCUAAGGUGCUCGAGUGAGCCGUGGUUAAGGAACUCGGCAAAUUAACUCCGUAACUUCGGGAUAAGGAGUGCCCCGAUUAGGUGAAGAGAUUUACUCUUGGAGCUGAAAGGGGCCGCAGUGAAAAGGCCCAAGCGACUGUUUAACAAAAACACAUGUCUCUGCGAAGUCAAUUAAGACGAAGUAUAGGGACUGACACCUGCCCGGUGCCGGAAGGUUAAGAGGUGGGGUUAGGUCUUCGGACCGAAGCUCUAAAUCGAAGCCCCGGUAAACGGCGGCCGUAACUAUAACGGUCCUAAGGUAGCGAAAUUCCUUGUCGGGUAAGUUCCGACCUGCACGAAUGGUGCAACGAUUUGGGCACUGUCUCAACCACGGGCUCGGUGAAAUUGUGGUACCGGUGAAGACGCCGGUUACCCGCAGAAGGACGGAAAGACCCCGUGAACCUUUACUGCACCCUAGCAUUGGGUUCGAGUAAGGCUUGUGUAGCAUAGGUGGGAGACUUUGAAGUUGGGGCGCUAGCCUCGAUGGAGUCAAAGGUGAAAUACCACCCUUGUCUUAUUUGGAUUCUAACGGCGGUCCAUGAAUCUGGAUCCCGGACAGUGUUAGGCGGGUAGUUUGACUGGGGCGGUCGCCUCCAAAAAUGUAACGGAGGCUCUCAAUGGUUCCCUCAGCACGGUUGGUAAUCGUGCGUUGAGUGCAAAGGCAAAAGGGAGCUUGACUGCGAGACAUACAGGUCGAGCAGAUACGAAAGUAGGACUUAGUGAUCCGGCGGUAGCGAAUGGAAGUGCCGUCGCUCAAAGGAUAAAAGGUACUCCGGGGAUAACAGGCUGAUCUUGCCCAAGAGUUCAUAUCGACGGCAAGGUUUGGCACCUCGAUGUCGGCUCAUCGCAUCCUGGGGCUGAAGAAGGUCCCAAGGGUUUGGCUGUUCGCCAAUUAAAGCGGUACGUGAGCUGGGUUCAGAACGUCGUGAGACAGUUCGGUCCCUAUCCUCUGCGGGCGCAGGAUAUUUGAGGAGAGUCGUCUCUAGUACGAGAGGACCGAGAUGAACGAAUCCCUAGUGCGCCAAUUAUCACGCCAGUGGUAUAGUUGGGUAGCUACAUUCGGAAUGGAUAAGCGCUGAAAGCAUCUAAGUGCGAAGCCAACUCCAAGAUUAGAUAUCCCUGUCAUUUAUGACACUAAAGACUCCUUGGAGAUGACAAGGUUGAUAGGCCAUAGAUGUAAGUACAGUAAUGUAUUUAGUUGAGUGGUACUAAUAAGUCGUGAGACUUAACCAA
rnacentral:rRNA from 1 species